rnacentral:rRNA from 1 species
ACUCAAAGGAAUAGACGGGGGCCCGCACAAGCAGCGGAGCGUGUGGUUUAAUUCGAGGCUACACGAAGAACCUUACCUGGGUUUGACAUGAACGUGGUAGUGAAGCGAAAGCGGAACGACCUUCGGGAGCGUUCACAGGUGCUGCAUGGCUGUCGUCAGCUCGUGCCGUGAGGUGUUAGGUUAAGUCCUGUAACGAGCGCAACCCCCGACCCUAGUUACACGUGUCCAGGGUGACUGCCCGUGACAAGCGGGAGGAAGGUGGGGACGACGUCAAGUCAGCAUGGCCUUUAUAUCCAGGGCUACACACACGCUACAAUGGCCGAUACAAUGGGAAGCCAAGCCGCAAGGCGGAGCUAAUCCUGCAAAGUCGGUCUCAGUUCGGAUUGUGGGCUGCAACUCGCCCACAUGAAGUUGGAGUUGCUAGUAACCGCGCGUCAGCUAUAGUGCGGUGAAUACGUUCCCGGGCCUUGUACACACCGCCCGU